rnacentral:rRNA from 1 species
UACCAGCACCCCGAGUGGUCGGGACGAUUAUUGGGCCUAAAGCAUCCGUAGCCGGUCAUGCAAGUCUUCCGUUAAAUCCAGCCGCUCAACGGUUGGGCUGCGGAGGAUACUACGUGGCUAGGAGGCGGGAGAGGCAAGCGGUACUCAAUGGGUAGGGGUAAAAUCCUUUGAUCCAUUGAAGACCACCAGUGGCGAAGGCGGCUUGCCAGAACGCGCUCGACGGUGAGGGAUGAAAGCUUGGGGAGCAAACCGG